GGGAAAAAAGACUUGCUCAGUUCUCCCGUCAUGGUUUGGGCUUCGCUCCUCCUUGCACUGGUCACUUGUUUCUCAGGUUCCUUCGCACAGACAGAGGUGCUGAGGCAGCCACUAUCAGUCUCUGUCUUUCUGGAGAAAAAUGCCGAAAUCACCUGUUCAGGGGACCUCGUCGCUGAAGCAGGUGUGAACUGGUACCAGCAGAAACCAGGCAUGGCCCCAGUACUUAUUAAAUAUUGGAAUGACGUCUGGGAUCCCUCCGAGAUCUCAGACCGGUUCUCAGGCUCCAAAUCUGGCAGCACGGCCACAUUAACCAUCUCAAGGGCCAAAGCGGAGGAUGAGGCUGAUUAUUACUGCCUGGUGUGGGACAGCAGAACAGGGCAUCACACAGUGAUUCAGCCAGAGGUGGAAGCAAGACAAAAACCUCUCGCUAUGAAAAGCAGUUCCUUUUUUGCAUACAGUCUAGUGACCUGA